rnacentral:rRNA from 1 species
UACAGAGGGUGCGAGCGUUAAUCGGAAUUACUGGGCGUAAAGCGUGCGUAGACGGUUAUCUAAGUCGGAUGUGAAAGCCCCGGGCUCAACCUGGGAAUUGCAUUCGAGACUGAAUAGCUAGGGUACGGUAGAGGGAAGUGGAAUUUCCGGUGUAGCGGUGAAAUGCGUAGAUAUCGGAAGGAACAUCAGUGGCGAAAGCGGCUAACUGGUCCAGCACUGACGCUGAGGUGCGAAAGCGUGGGGAGCAAACAGG